rnacentral:rRNA from 1 species
AAUAUUGGACAAUGGGCGCAAGCCUGAUCCAGCCAUGCCGCGUGAGUGAAGAAGGCCUUCGGGUUGUAAAGCUCUUUUGUCCGGAAAGAAAAGCCUUCGGUUAAUACCCGGGGGUGAUGACGGUACCGGAAGAAUAAGCACCGGCUAACUCCGUGCCAGCAGCCGCGGUCAUACGGAGGAUCCAAGCGUUAUCCGGAAUUACUGGGCGUAAAGAGUUGCGUAGGUGGCAUAGUAAGUAGAUGGUGAAAGCGUGCAGCUCAACUGCAUAUACAUCAUCUAAACUGCUAAGCUAGAGGACGAGAGAGGUAGAUGGAAUUCCCAGUGUAGGAGUGAAAUCCGUAGAUAUUGGGAGGAACACCGAUGGCGUAGGCAGUCUACUGGCUCGUUCCUGACACUAAGGCACGAAAGCGUGGGGAGCAAAC